rnacentral:rRNA from 1 species
GAUAAACGCUAGCGGCAGGCUUAACACAUGCAAGUCGAGGGGCAGCAUAGAUUGUAGCAAUACAAUUGGUGGCGACCGGAGCACGGGUUCGUAACGCGUAUGCAACCUACCCGUCACAGGGGGAUAAUCCGGAGAAAUCUGGUCUAAUACCCCAUAACAUAUGGAUCGGCAUCGGUUCAUGUUGAAAUUUUCGGAGGGUACGGAUGGGAAUGCGUGGCAAUAGCUUGUUGGUGAGGUAACGGAUCACCAAGGCGACGAUGUUUAGGGGGACUGAGAGGUUUUCCCCCCACACUGGUACUGAGACACGGACCAGACUCCUACGGGAGGCAGCAGUGAGGAAUAUUGGUCAAUGGGCGCAAGCCUGAACCAGCCAUGCCGCGUGCAGGAUGACGGCUCUAUGAGUUGUAAACUGCUUUUGUACGAGGGUAAAGUGGGUUACGUGUAACCUUUUGAAAGUAUCGUACGAAUAAGGAUCGGCUAACUCCGUGCCAGCCGCCGCAGUAA